UUAUAUUGCAGGGAAAGUGGAUUUAGAUCUAACACGCUCUUGGAUUGGUGAUUGGUGAAGAUAUCCUAACUGCUAUGGCUACAGAGCUCUCUGGUCUUGUGUGUGUCUUUACUUCUCACUUUCUCAGACUUUGAAUUUUGUAAUUUGGUCUUGUCUUUGUCUAACAGCGGGAGGGAGAUGUUUCAAUCCAAAGCACGAACGGGCCAAUUUCUAAAGAGGAAUUAGCAAUGACGACAACGACGACGAGCCCCUUCUUCUUCUUCUUGUUUGGUUUUUUUAAAGAAGAUUGCGAAGCCAUCAUCGAGACGUGUAUGUAUGUAUGAAGCCGCCAGAACUAAGGAGGAGAGAUUGUGUGUCUGCUACCAUGUUCUUGCUAAUUCCUCACCCACCAAUUCAACUCCUCUCUCUCUGUCCUCCUCCUCCUCCUCCAUGCGACGAAGUAGAUUCAGAACACGGUCGCUACGCUAGGGUUUGAAGAGUUGACGAAGAAGAUUCAGAAACAACACUACUUCCCCCUUAACAAUUGAACCAUCCCAUACCUUUUGCUACCCUAGAUGCCGACGAGCUAGCUCUCUGGUGCUCAUCCUGCUCCUCCUGAAGUACGACAGAGCUCUCUUGUUUGGUUUAAAGUGCAGCCGGGAAAGUGGAUUUGGUUGGAUCUUCCAAUCAUAACACGCUUUUGGAUCUCUGAUUGGAGAGAACCCCUUCAAUGUUAAAGUUGCUCAAGUGGAUGAAACAUGGAACUCUCAGCCAUUUAUAUUGGUGGAAAGCUUCUUCUCCCACGGCCCCCAUGCAUUUGGUCUCCAUAACCCUUUCAAAUCUCCACUGGUUUGUUCUAUAUAGAACGAAGGUCAUGUUUUUUUGUACAGAUACCUCUUGUAAGGAGAUGGAGAUAUAUCUCGACAAAGGCAGCUCAUAUGCUCACCGUACCUAAGGUAACAAUGGUUAGACCAUUUAAUUUCCCGCUGGAGAUGCCACUACUUCAACCAAUGGGGGCCAUUAUAAUGGGAAAAAUGACAUUUAAAUCAUGAACUUUCAAAUUGUGGUCAUUUAAACCAUGGACUUUGUUGUAGGCCAUUUAAAACAUCAACUUUUGUUGACUAGUUCUUUUAAACAUUAAGUUUUGUUGACCAAGCCAAAAAAUACAUAUCGUUAAAUCCGAUAACCAGGUAACUAACAGAUGUUCGUUAACACUCUCCGUUAGUGACAAAACGACAUCGUUUUGAUGAAAAUUUUAGUUCGAGAAAAAUGUUAUUUAAACCAUGAUUUUUUAAAUUGAGGCCUUAUAAACCAUGAAUUUUCAAAUAUAGGCCAUUUAAACUAUGAACUUUGUUGUAGGCCAUUUAAAACAUCAACAUUCAUUGACAAGAUUUUUUAGACAUCAAGUCAAACUAUUAAGUUUGCUAACAUGUCUUACUUCAGUCGAUCACAAGGGCGAAUACAAGGAUCAAGAUCACGAGCACAAAAACAUCAUAAGGGUCACAAACAAAAGCACAACAAAGAUGAGGUAAUCAUUGUAAUGGAGCUUUGGAUUUGGGUGAAAUGGAAGACUGUUGACUGGUGAAGAGCCGAGAUGUUUGUUCAGUUGACUGGUGGACUUGAGGCUGCUGUUUGCAGAGAGCAAACUAAAAAAGGCCAAGGCGAUUAGAGACACGAAGGUGAUUGAUCAUGUUUGUUCGUGUGUGUGUUCAGCAGGCCUACAAAGGCUCAAUAACAAUAACUUCAGCCCAUCAAACAAGACAUGCCCAGUCUCAGGGCAAUUAAAAUUUCUCAGGUCCGUGAAGGCGUAAAUAGAGAGAGAAAGAGAGCACUGUGCAUUCAUCUUUGCACGCAGCUGUGUAACGGUACCAGCAGCAAUUCAUCUUCUCUACUCCACGGUUUUGUCUUCCCAAUUUGUGGUUUUAUGUGUUAGUUUUGGUGGCUUCCGUGCACUUUGCUACGCCGUAAGGACUCAAAAAAGUGCUCAUAACUUGUACACAUGAUUGUUGCCAAGGUGCAUUUUGGCCAUUGACGAUACACAAGGAGCCAAGUGAAUAAGAUCCCAAAUGUUUGUUCACUUGACUGGAGGAAGGAUGCUGCUUGCAGAGAGCCAAACUCAAUGGCCAAGAUUGUACUCUUGAUGAGCUAGUGAGAUUGCUGGGCGGAGGAGAAGUAUUUGGUACUCUCUGAUCUAAAGAGGAAGCAAAAGACAACGAGUCCCUUGAAAAGACCUCUUCGGAUACAAUUACAUUUGCGAGGCCAGAGAUAUGGGGCUGAUUGAAAUCGAAGACUGUUGGCUAUGGAAGGUACAUUACACAAGGAGCCAAGUGAAGAGCUCAGAUAUGUUAGAAGGUUUCUUCAGUUCUAUUAGUGACCAAUCCGUUGGGAUGGGGAGUCAUUCGUGGAGUCAGACCAGAUCAGCAGUUGGUCAAGAUUGUACUUGAUGAGCUACUGAAAUUGGUGGGUGGAUGAGAAAGUAUCUGAGCUACAUUUUCUUGUACUCAGAGCUGCAUUCACCGGGCUACCAGCAUUUCAGGUCCUCUCUCUCCAUGACGAGAGAUAUGGAGGUAGUUGAAAUCGAUGACUGUUGGCCAUGGAAGAUACAUUACAGAAGGAGCCAAGUGAAAAGCCAAGAUGUUUGUUCUGUUGACUGGUGGACUCGAGGAUGCUGCUUGCAGACCAAACUCAAAGGCCAAGUCUGGUAGUAACCAAGCCGUUGGGAUGGGAGUCAUUCGUCGAGUCAGACCAGAUCAGCAAUUGACCAAGAUUGAGCUAGUCAAAUUGAUGGGUGGAGGAGAAGUAUCUGAGCUACACUUCCAUAUACUCGGAGCUGCAUUCACCGGGUGACCAGCAAUUCAGCUUCUCUCUCUCUCCUACACUGUUUGGCUUCCAAUUCAGCUCCUCAGACAUGGCAUAAGUUUGAUGACGCCAAGAUGAUUGGUGGGCUGAAAGUGCUCAUGACAAUAAGGGAAGUCUGGUGCCGAAGAAGUCAACUUUCCCUUCUGGUAUAAAAAGCACCUACGGAUUAUGUUCACAGCAAGGGCCUUAAGCUCGGGAUUUACUCAGAUGUCGGGUAUUUUACCUGCAGCAAAAGCAUGCCAGGUUCUUUAGGCCAUGAGGAGCAUGAUGCCAAUACCUUUGCAGAAUGGGUGCGUUAGAUGUCAUUCUUGUAUUCCCACAUUCUUGUUAGACAACGAGUCCCUUGAAAAGACCUCUUCGGAUACAAUUACAUUUGCGAGGCGAGAGAUAUGGAGCUGGUUGAAAUCGAAGAUAUGGAGUUUGGUAGGUGGCCAUGAAAGUUGCAUUACGGAAGGAGCCAAGUUAAGAGCCAAGAUGUUUGUUCGGUUGAGGAGGCCGCUUGCCCUUGAGCUCAAAGGCCAAGGUUUUUUGGAAGCCAAUUUAUGAUCCGAUCAUCAUCGCUCGCUCCCUCCUCCUACGGAAGAAUUGAAGGAAUGGGAUAAGUACUGUCUCUAUGAUGCUUUGUGAUGCUACUUACUAAGGUUGACGCUAGAGAUGGAAUUGUCUAUGUAUGAUGUAUACGACUCUACAAGGUUUUGGAUGCUUUUAUCAACCAGUGAUGGCUUUGACUGAUCUUCCUCAAGCGUUCUCAUGGGUUCCUUUGCUCUAAACUUAUCUCUUUUAUUUGUCUCUGAAUAUUCACUUUGGUUCUAUGGUCUUCUUUUUCUUCUCAUUACAUGUUAAUAUAUACUUGUCGUUUUUAUCAUUUCAGGUUUUGGAUGAUGCUUUUAUCAUUCAGUGAUGGCUUUGACUGAUGGGACUAGAUCAGCAGUUGGCGAAGAUUGUACAUGAUGAGCUAGUCAAAUUGAUGGGCGGAGGAGAAGUGUCUGAGCUACACUUCCUUGUACUCACCGGACUACCAGCAUUUCUGCGCCUCUCUCUCCUCCACGUAACAUCAUCAAACUGAUUUUGAAGAUCGGUGAUAUGCUAGGGUUUGAAGAUUUGACGAAGAAGAUUCAGAACCGAAACAAAAGAUGAACUUCACCUUACAGUAACAACAUCAAAC